rnacentral:rRNA from 1 species
GAUGAACGCUAGCUACAGGCUUAACACAUGCAAGUCGAGGGGCAGCAUGAGCUUAGCUUGCUAAGUUUGAUGGCGACCGGCGCACGGGUGAGUAACGCGUAUCCAACCUUCCGUUUACUCAGGGAUAGCCUUUCGAAAGAAAGAUUAAUACCUGAUGGUAUCUUAAUGACACAUGUAAUUAAGAUUAAAGAUUUAUCGGUAAACGAUGGGGAUGCGUUCCAUUAGGUAGUAGGCGGGGUAACGGCCCACCUAGCCAACGAUGGAUAGGGGUUCUGAGAGGAAGGUCCCCCACAUUGGAACUGAGACACGGUCCAAACUCCUACGGGAGGCAGCAGUGAGGAAUAUUGCACAAUGGGGGAAACCCUGAUGCAGCGACGCCGCGUGAGUGAUGAAGUAUUUCGGUAUGUAAAACUCUAUCAGCAGGGAAGAUAAUGACGGUACCUGACUAAGAAGCACCGGCUAAAAUACGUG